UAGCUGCCUUUUGAAGGGC
rnacentral:miRNA from 1 species